rnacentral:rRNA from 1 species
GCAAGUAUAGCGGCGCUACGGGUGAGUAACACGUGGGCAACCUACCUUCUAGUGGGGAAUAACCUCGCGAAAGCGAGGCUAAUACCGCAUACGAAUCUUCUCCGGCAUCGGAGGAGAUGGAAAGCAGCAAUGCGCUAGAAGAGGGGCCCGCGGCCGAUUAGCUAGUUGGCGGGGUAACGGCCCACCAAGGCGAUGAUCGGUAUCCGGCCUGAGAGGGCGCACGGACACACUGGAACUGAAACACGGUCCAUACUCCUACGGGAGGCAGCAGUGGGGAAUUUUGCGCAAUGGGGGAAACCCUGACGCAGCAACGCCGCGUGGAGGAUGAAGGGCCUCGGUUCGUAAACUCCUUUCGACCGGGACGAGUAGAAGACGGUACCGGUGGAAGAAGCCCCGGCUAACUACGUGCCAGCAGCCGCGGUAAU